UACGUAGGGGGCAAGCGUUGUCCGGAUUUAUUGGGCGUAAAGAGCGUGUAGGCGGCUAGACAGAUCUGCUGUGAAAACUCGAGGCUCAACCUCGAGAUGUCGGCGGAAACCGUCUGGCUAGAGUCCGGAAGAGGAGAGUGGAAUUCCUGGUGUAGCGGUGAAAUGCGUAGAGAUGCGGAGGAACACCGAUGGCGAAGGCAGCCCCCUGGGCCGACAUUGACGCUCAGGCACGAAAGCGUGGGGAGCAAACAGG
rnacentral:rRNA from 1 species